CUGAGGUCUUAACUUUGUAUCCGAUUGGAGAUCUACAUCCACCAGAUGCAGCUUGGUCAGGUUCCAGUUCCACAUCUGAUUUCAGAAGAUGAAUAAUUAGACCCAAAGAAGUUAAGAGACUCAUGCUAUAGGUAAAACAGGCGGCCUUCCACUGCCUGGAUGAAAAUGUCUGCAGUUCUGUGUAUCUUUACUUCAGGAACGAAGAGAGUAAG